rnacentral:rRNA from 1 species
AGAGUUUGAUUCUGGCUCAGGACGAACGCUGGCGGUGCGCCUAAUGCAUGCAAGUCUACUACUUGUGACUUCGGUCACGCUAUAGUGGUGGCAGACGGCUUAGUAACACGUAAGUAAUCUACCCUCAAGUGGGGGAUAAUCCGAAGAAAUUCGGCCCAAUACCCCAUAAUGUUUUAGUAUAUAUGUAUUGAAAAGAAAGAUUUAUCGCUUUUGGAGGAGCUUGCGGCCUAUCAGGUAGUUGGUAAGGGUAAUGGCCUACCAAGCCUAAGACGGGUAACCGAAGUGAGAGCUUGAUCGGUAAGAGGGGGACUGAGACACGGCCCCCACUCCUACGGGAGGCAGCAGCAGGGAAUCUUGCGCAAUGGACUGUAUGGUCUGACGCAGCGACACCGCGUGGAGGAUGAAUGCUUUAGGGUUGUAAACUCCUUUUCUUAGGGAAGAUGAUGACGGUACCUAAGGAAUAAGCAUCGGCUAACUACGUGCCAGCAGCCGCGGUAAUACGUAGGAUGCGAGCGUUGUCCGGAAUUAUUGGGCGUAAAGGGCGUCUAGGUUGAUUGAUAAGUCCUGUGUGAAAUCUCUUGGCUCAACCAAGAAAUGUCACAGGAAACUAUUAAUCUAGAGGUCAUCAGAGGUAAGUGGAAUUCACGGAGUAGUGGUGAAAUGCGUAGAUACCGUGAGGAACACCAGAGGCGAAAGCGGCUUACUAGGAUGAACCUGACACUAAAGCGCGAAAGCGUGGGUAGCAAACCGGAUUAGAUACCCGGGUAGUCCACGCCAUAAACGAUGGAUACUAGUUAUGGGCGGCAUUGACCCCUCUGUAACGAAGCUAACGCAUUAAGUAUCCCGCCUGGGGAGUACGGCCGCAAGGUUAAAACUCAAAGAAAUUGACGGGGGCCCGCACAAGCGGUGGAGCAUGUGGUUUAAUUCGACGCAACGCGCAGAACCUUACCAGCCCUUGACAUGGGGGUUCCGGAUAGCAGAGAUGCUUUCCUUCAGUUCGGCUGGGCCCCGCACAGGUGCUGCAUGGCUGUCGUCAGCUCGUGUCGUGAGAUGUUGGGUUAAGUCCCGCAACGAGCGCAACCCUCGUCUUCAGUUGCCAUCGGUUCGGCCGGGCACUCUGAAGAAACUGCCGGUGAUAAGCCGGAGGAAGGUGGGGAUGACGUCAAGUCCUCAUGGCCCUUACGGGCUGGGCUACACACGUGCUACAAUGGCGGUGACAGCGGGAAGCGAAGGGGCGACCCGGAGCGAAUCUCGAAAAGCCGUCUCAGUUCGGAUUGUACUCUGCAACUCGAGUGCAUGAAGGUGGAAUCGCUAGUAAUCGCGGAUCAGCAUGCCGCGGUGAAUACGUUCCCGGGCCUUGUACACACCGCCCGUCACA